CAUAUUUCCAACCCCUCUGGAGCACAGCUUCUAUUCCUUGCUUACACAUAACGUUUCAAAGUUAACCUUCAGUCCUAGGAUAUUUGAAAAAGAUGGGAUCUGGGUUGACCAAAGAACACUUUCCCUUUCUAUGAUGCCCGGGGGAUGGUUUCAUUUUAGAGUUAUGGAUUGUUUUUGUAAGUUAUUCUCAUACCAACAAUCCCCUCAACUGAAUUGCCACAUCUCAAAGAUAUUCCUCUCCAAUGUUACUGCAUCUAUCUUAAUGAAUCAUUCCCUUGAUCCUAAAAAUUUGAAGAGUGAAUUUAUACAAAUCAUUGGAGUAGAUCCGAACAGUUGUAAUCUGGUACAUAUUCCAUGUUUUAUUGACAAACAAUGGGUGUUGGUGGUUGU